rnacentral:tRNA from 1 species
UCUCUGGCGGUCCAGUGGUUAUGACCCAGCGUUACCACUGCUGAGGGCCUGGGUUCAAUCCCUGGUCGGGGAA